rnacentral:ncRNA from 2 species
GGGUCCAGAAAUAUCUUAAUAUUUCUGGAGGUUAAACAACCGGAUAGCCGGGCCGCUAUCU